rnacentral:rRNA from 1 species
GGGAGGCAGCAGUGGGGAAUCUUGGACAAUGGGCGCAAGCCUGAUCCAGCCAUGCCGCGUGAGUGAUGAAGGCCUUAGGGUUGUAAAGCUCUUUUAGCAGGGAAGAAGCGAAAGUGACGGUACCUGCAGAAAAAGCACCGGCUAACUACGUGCCAGCAGCCGCGGUAAUACGUAGGGGGCAAGCGUUAUCCGGAAUUACUGGGUGUAAAGAGCUCGUAGGCGGUUUGUCGCGUCUGCUGUGAAAUCCGGAGGCUCAACCUCCGGCCUGCAGUGGGUACGGGCAGACUAGAGUGCGGUAGGGGAGAUUGGAAUUCCUGGUGUAGCGGUGGAAUGCGCAGAUAUCAGGAGGAACACCGAUGGCGAAGGCAGAUCUCUGGGCCGUAACUGUCGCUGAGGAGCGAAAGGGUGGGGAGCAAACAGGCUAAGAUACCCUCGUAGUCCACCCCGUAAAAGUUGGGAACUAGUUGU